UUUCUUUCUUUUUUUCCUUUCUCCCUUGGCAUUCACGCACAGCCCCUAUUCCCUUUUCUUUCCUUUUCUCUUCUUCUUCUUCCAUUCCUCCCUUCUUAUCACACACGUACCGCCCUCUCCAUUUCUUCCUAUCUCUUUUCUUCGGCACACACACGCGCACACCCCCAACCAUGAGAGACCGAUUGAGAGAGAGAGAGAACCGAUAUAAGCUUGAGAACCCGUUGAACCCAUGAACCCGAAACCAACAAAGAGAGACCCGAUCCUUCGGUGGGUUGUUCAUGGGUCGACACCAACGUAGCCAAAGGUGCGAUUUUCAGGGAUUUUUGGUGGAAUUUUCGGUGUAGAAUGAAAAUCCCCUAUGAUCGUGUUCGGAUUGGAGACUUUAAUUGGUUCUCCAAUCUAGAGUUCAAGUAACUAGAACACGGGGGAAUGUUGGAGUCAUGAGUCCAAUGCAGCUAAGAUGUUUGUUUGGCUGCAGGUAUUCCGGUCGUAGUCAAUAGCAUUGUAGAAGGGUACAUCGGAUGUUAUGUUUGUAGCACGCUGCAACGGUCGUAAUUGGUGGACCACGGGUCGUCCACUUGUUUAUAAGUUUGGUUUAUGGCUUGUGACGCGUGUGUCACUUAAUCUUGUAAAGCCAUUUCUGUUAUGUAUUUAUAUUGAGGAAAGACUUAAACAGAUAGAAGUAAUAUGACUCUUUGUCUAUGAUUAUUUGUAAUAGAAGUUUAUGUUAUGAUUUCCGCUA